rnacentral:tRNA from 1 species
UAGAUGGGAUGCUCGCUGGGUUUGGGGCGGCUUAGCUGUUACUAAAGAGUUUGUAGGAUCGAGGGCCUUUCCCAUCUAG